AACUGGAUGCUUUUCUUAAAAAAUGUUGCCAGAUCUCGUCUGAUCUUGGAAGCUGAGCAGGAUUGGGCCUGGUUAGUACUUGGAUGGGAGACCACCUAGGAAGACCAGGUGAUGUAGGUG
rnacentral:rRNA from 1 species